rnacentral:lncRNA from 1 species
UGGCCCCGGGGAUGUUCUCUGCCAGUGAUAGUCACCAGGGUACUAAGAGCGAUUCUCCACUCUCCAAGGGCUGGGAACGUCGGUGACUCCUCAUCCACGUGCCUCUCAUUCGCACGUCGUGGAACUUCUUGAGAGGCUGCAUGUUCUGGCCUCCAGUUUCAUCCACUUUUCUGUUCACUCCACGCGGCAUGCAGUGUAUUCUUAAUGCUUAAAUACCAGUCCUGGACGUCAAACCACUGUCCUCAGAAAACAAGAGAUUUGGGUGACCCUGGUGUACGCACGCUUCUGCCCUCAGACAGACUUCAUCAGACCCGAGAGGAGUUUAGGGGAGGAGGAGGGAGGCUCCGAGUUCUGAGCCCAGUCUACACAGCCUCCCGGGGACCCUAGUACUCUGGUACUUCCGACACCGCCGGGAGCGGGGGCCGCUGCCCACCGGCCCUGCGUGGACGCGCCGCCAGCCGAAGGUUCCAGGGUUAGGACCCCGCGCGGCCCGGGAGGGGGGUUGCCGGCCCCGCGCGGUUGGCGAGCCCAACUUCCUUUCCUAGCUUUGCAUCCUCCUCUCCCAGUGCUGGCUCUGCCCCUGGAAAAGCGCGGUGCCAGCGGCGUCCUGGAGGGCCCUCUGGCUUCCUCCAGGAGUCUUGGCUCGACGCGCCUUUGAUCUUUAGUUCUGGCCGCCUCCGCCGGUCCACCCUCCGGCCUGCUCACGGAAGGAUUAACCACUCCCAGGACCCGGCUUCAAGAUCCCCUCCCAGGGCAGAGGGAGGAGAAAGGGGUGGGCAGGGCUGAGGGAGCACCGUUUAGAAUGUCGCCCGGUUGAGACCAGACUCCUCGAGAGACACGUCACUUCAUCCUUUGCACCCAGACUAUGCCUGGCACCUCCAUGAAGGCCGGAUCACGAGUGAAUCAUUAACCCUCUGCAGCUGCGGGGAAGAAAGUGGAUAAGACGGAGGGCGUCGGAGCAAAGAAAUUGACAGUGGGGCUGUUGCCGGAGUUUCAGUUGAAACUGAACCUCCUACGUUGAAGUUCAGGCGCAUACUCGAGGAAAGAAUAAAGCAAGCUGACUUGCCA